UCUCUAUAACCUGGAAGGAGAUUGUAGUGUGCUGGGGGUAGUUUCUUCUACUGUAUCUGCAGUGAGAGGACCAAAGGGAAUGGCUCUAAACUGAUACUAUGGAGAUUCAGAGUCAGGACUGCCUUACUAAGCCCACAGUGACCAGCUGAGAAGAUACAUUCAGCACUUUCUGUGUAAUGAUCACAAGCUGGUUGGUCCGGUCUUGGGUCUUAAAUAUUUCCUACACACAACCUGGAGAGAAAAUGAUUUCAUGGUUUUAGAAGAGUGGCCACGGCCUCAUGCCAGACAAAGCACUGUGAGCCUCGAGUCCCACAAGUGGGAGAAAGAUCUGCAGUAAAGCCAGAAAUUCCU